UACAGAGGGUGCUAGCGUUGUUCGGAAUCAUUGGGCGUAAGGGCGUGUAGGCGGUUUGUAAGUCAUGUGUGAAAUCCCUCGGCUCAACCGGGGAACGACGCAUGAAACUGGCAGCUAGAGUACCAAAGAGGGGGUGGAAUUCCCGGUGUAGCGGUGAAUGCGUAGAUAUCGGGAGGAACACCUGUGGCGAAGGCGGCCCCCUGGUUGGAUACUGACGCUGAUACGCGAAAGCGUGGGGAGCAACAGG
rnacentral:rRNA from 1 species